rnacentral:lncRNA from 12 species
AACACUCGGAAUCAUUAUUUGAUCAGGACACAAACCUCUUAAACGUCAUCAACACAAUCUGCCGGGCAGAACGACUCCUUCCUGUCAGGAGACCCUCCUGGAGGGAUCUGACCCAGAUGGCCCUUAGGGAGCCCACCCCAGGGAAGCACUCCUGCGGACUUCCCAGAGGGCACCGGCUUGAUCAGGGAGAGGUAAGCGUAGGGUGUCAGUUACCAACACCGAGGGCGCUCGCUCUUCACCGUGACACGCCACAGAGAACACCUCUCUCAGUUCUUUCUUCGUUACCUGGAAAAACGUUUUUUUCUCACCAGGCCUCAAAUUAAUUCGGUGGGAAAUGGCCGCUCCUAAUUUUGCGCGCAGGAUAACGCUGCCUACCCUCCACCCCACCCAGGUCCACGCGGUUCCAGCGUCUCGAGCGUCUCGGCUGCUGCCACCCAGCAGGUUCCCCGCGCGGUCCGUCGGCUGACACGUGCGAUCCGUCCACGAAGGCAAACCGCCCAGGGGCUGCAGUCCCAGGCGCUGCCUUCCAGUCCUUGGGCGCAGCAAGCUCCUUUCCGGACCCUCGCCGGCAGCCCCAGGACUGGAAGGCAGCGCCUGGGACUGCAGCCCCUGGGCGGUUUGCCUUCGUGGACGGAUCGCACGUGUCAGCCGACGGACCGCGCGGGGAACCUGCUGGGUGGCAGCAGCCGAGACGCUCGAGACGCUGGAACCGCGUGGACCUGGGUGGGGUGGAGGGUAGGCAGCGUUAUCCUGCGCGCAAAAUUAGGAGCGGCCAUUUCCCACCGAAUUAAUUUGAGGCCUGGUGAGAAAAAAAAACGUUUUUCCAGGUAACGAAGAAGGAACUGAGAGAGGUGUUCUCUGUGGCGUGUCACGGUGAAGAGCGAGCGCCCUCGGUGUUGGUAACUGACACCCUACGCUUACCUCUCCCUGAUCAAGCCGGUGCCCUCUGGGAAGUCCGCAGGAGUGCUUCCCUGGGGUGGGCUCCCUAAGGGCCAUCUGGGUCAGAUCCCUCCAGGAGGGUCUCCUGACAGGAAGGAGUCGUUCUGCCCGGCAGAUUGUGUUGAUGACGUUUAAGAG